rnacentral:rRNA from 2 species
ACAGGGAUUCCCUAGUACGGCGAGUGAAGCGGGAACAGCUCAAAUUUGAAAUCUGGCCCUUGGGUCCGAGUUGUAAUUUGCAGAGGAUGCUUUUGGUGCGGUGCCUUCCGAGUUCCCUGGAACGGGACGCCUUAGAGGGUGAGAGCCCCGUACGGUUGGCCACCAAGCCUGUGUAAAGCUCCUUCGACGAGUCGAGUAGUUUGGGAAUGCUGCUCAAAAUGGGAGGUAUAUUUCUUCUAAAGCUAAAUACUGGCCAGAGACCGAUAGCGCACAAGUAGAGUGAUCGAAAGAUGAAAAGCACUUUGAAAAGAGGGUUAAAUAGCACGUGAAAUUGUUGAAAGGGAAGGAUUUAUGACCAGACUUUUUCUGGGGGGAUCAUCCGGUGUUCUCACCGGUGCACUUCCCCCAGUUGAGGCCAGCAUCGGUUUCUGCCGGGGGAUAAAAGCUUUGGGAAUGUGGCUCCUUCGGGAGUGUUAUAGCCCGUUGCAUAAUACCCUGGCGGGGACCGAGGUUCGCGCAUUGCAAGGAUGCUGGCGUAAUGGUUAUUAAUCACCCGUCUUGAAACACGGACCAAGGAGUCGAACAUUUGUGCGAGUGUUUGGGUGUUAAACCCUCACGCGUAAUGAAAGUGAACGGAGGUGAGAGCCUUUAGGGGUGCAUCAUCGACCGAUCCUGAUGUCUUCGGAUGGAUUUGAGUAAGAGCAUAACUGUUCGGACCCGAAAGAUGGUGAACUAUGCGUGGAUAGGGUGAAGCCAGAGGAAACUCUGGUGGAGGCUCGCAGCGGUUCUGACGUGCAAAUCGAUCGUCAAAUCUGCGCAUGGGGGCGAAAGACUAAUCGAACCAUCUAGUAGCUGGUUACCGCCGAAGUUUCCCUCAGGAUAGCAGUGUUGUGUUCAGUUUUAUGAGGUAAAGCGAAUGAUUAGGGACUCGGGGGCUAUUUAUUGCCUUCAUCCAUUCUCAAACUUUAAAUAUGUAAGAAGCCCUUGUUACUUUAUUGAACGUGGGCAUUCGAAUGUAUCAACACUAGUGGGCCAUUUUUGGUAAGCAGAACUGGCGAUGCGGGAUGAACCGAACGCGAGGUUAAGGUGCCAAAGUAAACGCUCAUCAGACCCCACAAAAGGUGUUAGUACAUCUUGACAGCAGGACGGUGGCCAUGGAAAUCGGAAUCCGCUAAGGA